CUACCGCCCCCAACACCCACCACCACCAAUGUGACUCCGGGCGUGGUCACUGGUCCAGAUUACUUGGAGCUACCGCCCCCACCACCACCAAUGUGACUCCGGGGCGUGGUUACUGGUCCAGAUUACUUGGAGCUACCGCCCCCAACACCCACCACCACCAAUGUGACUCCGGGGCGUUGUUACUGGUCCAGAAAUUGUAUACUAGCAGCUACCAUCCCCACCUCCAGUGCUGUGAUUGUGGUAAUAAAAGGCCAUCGUACAAGCUACCUAAAGUGGUGGAUUCUAAAAACGACGAUUGCAACCACCAAACCUCCAGAUGAAACGCUUCUUGAGGAUCGAGGAAUCUUUUCACAGAUAACUUUGCUACGAAUUGGGAGUUUUCCAAUAAUUACGCCUGCAUGAUGUCAGAUAACGUCGACCCAAGACUAAAUGUCCAAGAUGUGAAACACUAUGCACAGCGUUAGCAAGGAGCCAUGAGGCCACUUUCAUCGAUGAUCGGACAUCCUAGGAGUCUUGGUUUUGAAGGACACGGCUUGUUCUGCAAACAAAUAUAAAGAAUGUGGAAUGGUAAUGGAGAGCAAUAUACAGUAUCGAAUGUAGUGGGAAUACAGUCUAAUUAUGUAUCAGUCUUUUGAAUGCUGAGAAUAUUUGGGGUUCAUAGGUCAGAAUAGUGUGCCUUAUGCAGUGAAACCAUUUUACUUCAAUAGCUGAAGAGAAAACUGAGGUUCAAGAUGAUUCUUCAUUCCAUACAAGAUCAACUGAAUAAGAUAUGUGCUUCUGUAUGAAAAGUCUACCUCUACAGUUGCUAUAAUUAUUAUAUUGAUGAUUAAAAUUGAAUAUAGAGUUGCUUUAUCUACAUUCUGAAUGCAGAUAGUUUUUUGCUCACAAAAAAAUUCCCACCACUUGUGGUCGUCUGUGUUUUGUUUCAAUCUGAGAUGGUUAUUUUUCAAAUUUGUGCUUUUGAUGAUGUGGAGUUGUUUGUCAGUAUGGCAUUUGAGGAGGUCUUAACCUGCACACUAACCUUACUAAAAAACCCUCACAUCUUUGUAAAAUCUGACUUCAUGUAAACGCUUUUACAUGAAGAGAUUUUACAUUGAUAGAUUGUGCAAAAUCUGUAAUGAAAUAUUUUACGUGUGAGAAAAUAUUUCAUUAUAAUUUUGCACAGUCUGCUCUUCUUGAGAGAUGCUGUCAUCUCUCAAGAUAGAGAUCACAUUACUAACAUUCAGAUUUUCUCAAGUGUUAUACUUGACAAAUAUAUCCACUUCAUCAGAUAUGCACCUUUUCUCCGGAUAAAAAAAAAAAUCA